GAAGGGUGCAAGCGUUACUCGGAAUUACUGGGCGUAAAGCGUGCGUAGGUGGUUCGUUAAGUCUGUCGUGAAAGCCCCGGGCUCAACCUGGGAAUGGCGAUGGAUACUGGCGGGCUAGAGUGCGGUAGAGGAGAGUGGAAUUCCCGGUGUAGCAGUGAAAUGCGUAGAGAUCGGGAGGAACAUCAGUUGCGAAGGCGGCUCUCUGGACCAGCACUGACACUGAGGCACGAAAGCGUGGGGAGCAAACAGGAUUAGAUACCCUGGUAGUCCACGCCCUAAACGAUGCGAACUGGACGUUGGGAGCAACUAGGCUCUCAGUGUCGAAGCUAACGCGUUAAGUUCGCCGCCUGGGGAGUACGGUYGCAAGRCUG
rnacentral:rRNA from 1 species